GGGGGCGACCUGGAUUCGACGGGGUCGGUGAAGCUAUGGCUGCGUGCCCAGGUGCAGAGCCCUGGUAAAACACUCGGCAAAAUUUUAACUGCCAACUCAAACCUGGCCCUGGCUGCGUAACUCUUAGGAGUUGCUGCACCUUGCUCGCGAUGAAGCCUGCCCGAGGCGGCGUCACGAGUAUCGCAAUAUCGGGAUAGCUCUGCGUCGCGCCUCUUGACGCAAGGCGAAAUUCCAAGGAGGCUUGUGCAGUAAUGGGCCGCUCGCUGGCCAGUGACUGCAGACCUUAAUCGGCGAGCUACGCACGUAGAUGCUGUGGUCGAUCUAAUCUCGGACCGGGGUUCGACUCCCCGCGCCUCCACUG
rnacentral:tmRNA from 1 species